UCCUCAGUAGCUCAGUGGUAGAGCGAUCGGCUGUUAACCGAUUGGUCGUAGGUUCAAGUCCCACCUGAGGAG
rnacentral:tRNA from 1 species